rnacentral:rRNA from 1 species
AGUGAACGCUGGCGGUAGGCCUAACACAUGCAAGUCGAACGGCAGCACAGUAAGAGCUUGCUCUUACGGGUGGCGAGUGGCGGACGGGUGGGGAAUACAUCGGAAUCUACUUUUUCGUGGGGGAUAACGUAGGGAAACUUACGCUAAUACCGCAUACGACCUACGGGUGAAAGCAGGGGAUCUUCGGACCUUGCGCGAUUGAAUGAGCCGAUGUCGGAUUAGCUAGUUGGCGGGGUAAAGGCCCACCAAGGCGACGAUCCGUGGCUGGUCUGAGAGGAUGAUCAGCCACACUGGAACUGAGACACGGUCCAGACUCCUACGGGAGGCAGCAGUGGGGAAUAUUGGACAAUGGGCGCAAGCCUGAUCCAGCCAUACCGCGUGGGUGAAGAAGGCCUUCGGGUUGUAAAGCCCUUUUGUUGGGAAAGAAAAGCAGCAGGUUAAUACCCCGCUGUUCUGACGGUACCCAAAGAAUAAGCACCGGCUAACUUCGUG